rnacentral:lncRNA from 1 species
CAUAGAACCAACUUCUUGUAUCUCACAGAAAGAAAAAAUCUCUUUGAAUCAUGUCCCUAAAAAAAGUAAAGGUUUCAAUCAUUUGUGCAUCACAUGAUAACUGAUAGCUGUACUUCACUUUCUAAAAAUGUUUGCUAAAUUCAAUACUUAGCAAGAGCAUUCUCAACCUACUUACCCUUCUGCAAUGCAAGGCAAGGAAUCAACAUUAUAUGAUAAAUCAAAGUGAAACUAGCAUCUUUGUACCAUUCCCAAGGUAUCAUAUCAAACUACUAUUUUUUUACAUCAAAGGGAUUAUAAUUUGCCAACUAUAUCCUUCUACAUCUUGAUGGACAAGGACAGAGUUUAAAAUCACACUUAGAGAUUAACAUCUAAUAUAGACUGAAAAAUAACAUAUGGAUAUUAUCUGAGCUUCAGGUAGAGGCCAGUGAAAGGUGAAUUUGCUUAUUCAGCAUUUCUGUUGUGAAAUCAUCUAUGAAGUAAUGGCAAAAGUGACCAGAAAAUUGAGAGGCAAAUGCUAAUAAAAUGGACAAAAUUGAAGAAUUUCAUGGUACAUAGACAAGAAUGUCUACUGUGAAUAAUAUAAACAAUUAAUCAUUAAUAAGAAAAAUGUACAGAAUAUAUCACUCCUAGGUCUUUCAUUUGAAAUGCUUAAAGCCUUAAUAUUCCUGUGACAAAUAAGAGACUACCACAGGUAAUUUGGGGUUUGAGAGACAGAAAUACUCUGUGCAUCAAAAGUAAUUUUGCAAUGCAAUUCUAGUUGUUAUUUAUCGAAUAACUUAAGGUAAAAAAUGUAAUUCUGCUUCCAUAGCUCACAUAUAACAAUUUAUGCAACAAGAACAACUUUUUAUUUAGAAAGCACUUAAUGCUCAUAUUUUUUGUUUUUUAUUGUGAGCUCCUUACCCUCUUUAGGUUAAGGCAAUAAGUUCUUUUUUUUCUCCUAUUUUAUAGAUUUAUCUGUUUCAUAAGCUGAACUUGAAUAUUAAUAGAUCUAGCAAUAAUUGUUGUAUACCUUUUUUCAAAUAAAAUGCCUAUUGUGAAAUAAAAUUAACAUGAGAUGCCAAUUGCAUAUAACAUUGUGAAAAUAUCUUUAAAUGCAAUAUUUAUCUAAGGAAGAAGCAACAGGCACUUAGACUCUUCCGGCUCAAGAGCAAUUAAUGCACACAUUAGGAAGGAAAUUUGGCAAUAUUUGUCUAAUAACAUAAGAUCAUAUAUGUUUCGAUUGACUACAUUCAUAUCAACAAAGUAUAGUAAGGAAAACAUCAAGUUUCACAAUACUAUAUAGAACAGGAAUUAAUAAUUGUGUGUGUGAGUGGGUGUGUGUGUGUCUGUAUGUAUGUAUGUGUCUGUUGUAUGUCAUUAGAAGAAUGUAGUCACCAGGGAGAGGAAAGAGGAGGGAAUGGGAAAUAAAAUUACCAAAGUUAUGUUAUGUGCAUGAAUAAAUAUGUGACAAUGAAAUCCACUAUUAUGUAUAAUUGUAAUACACCAAUAAAAAUUUUUAAAAAUGAAGUCAACCUAAAUUUCAAG